rnacentral:misc_RNA from 1 species
UGGCAUAAAGCUACAUGUAAGUAUGUACCAUGUUCAGUACUGGCUUUCUAAAUGAGUUAAAAUUGUAUUUCUAUACGUGCCUAAACAUGUCUAUAUCAGUUAUCUGUCUGAUAGAACGGAUUCGGUCCAAGCCAACAUGAGGUCCCGAACGACUGCUGGAAAAUCUCGAGCUACUUCCAAAGCCAUUGAUGGCAUGUCUAUCUG